rnacentral:misc_RNA from 1 species
UCAUGCCCCAGAUUGAAGUGAAAACCCCGGAGUUGUGGUAAUUUACAUUUUUUGUAUUGGCAAAGCGACCGGAGGAAGCUCUUGCGAAUGCUUAAAAAUGUUAUUGCCGCAAUGAGGAGUUGUAACAAAAAGCUGGAUUAGGC